rnacentral:lncRNA from 1 species
UAGUGGACCAAUCCUUUCUUUUUCUCUCUCUUUUGAAUGUAAAAUUAGAAUGCUAAGAAUGUGAUUGACCCAUUCCUUGGCGAGGCAACUGUAGUUGCAGCCAUGGUAGGUAAAUCAUUUCCCUUUGUUUUUUAAUUUUAAAUUUCGAAUGCUGAGACUUUGAUUGUCUAGUUUCUAGAUGUUAUAAUAUUUCUUAUUUGAGUUCACAUGACAUGUUGAGAAUGUGGUUGAUAUGUUUCUUGGCGGAGGUAACUGUAGUUGCAGCCAUAGUUGGCUAAACCUUUCUUUCUCUCUCUUUUGGGUUUAAAAUUGGAAUGCUAAGAGUGUGAUUGACCCAUUCCUUGGCGAGGCAAAUGUAGUUGUAGCCGGGGUGGGUAAAUCCUUUAGCUUUGUUUUCAAUUUUAAAUCCUGAAUGCUGAUAAUUUGAUUGUCUAGUUUCUAGAUAUUACAAUAUUUCUUAUAUGAGUUCAGAUGACAUGUUGAGCAUGUGAUUGAUCUGCUUUUUGGCGGGGAUAACUAUAGUUGCAACCGUAGUGGGGCAAUCCUUUCUGUCUCUCUCUUGGAGUUAAAAUUGGAAUGCGAAGAAUGUGAUUGACCCAUACCUUGGCGAGGCAAUUGUAGUUGCAAAAGCACAGCCUGGCGGGUAAUCCUAUCCUCUUUGUUUUUUUAAUUUUGAAUCUCGAAAGCUGAGAAUUUGAUUGUCUAGUUUCUAGAUGUUAUUAUUUCUUAUUGUGUUGACAUGACAUGUGAAAUGUCCGUUAUAUAUUUCUUGGCGAGUUAACGUAGUUGCAACCAUAGUGUGCCAAUCCAAUCUCUCUCUCGUUAAGUUUUUAAAUUAGAAAUGCUAAAAUGUAAUUAACCCAUUCCUGGCAAACAACUGUAAGUGCAAGAUCUGUGUGGUUAAAUGUAUUUUUCUUUGCUUUUAUGUUUUAAAUUCGAUUGCUGAGAAUUUGAUUGUCUAAUUUCUCUAAAUUUUACAAUAUUCUUAUUUGAGUUCACAUGACAUGUGAAUGUCAAUUGAUAGUUUUCUUUCUUAGUCGGGGUAAUUGUGCUGCAGUCUUAAAUGUUCCCUUGCAAACCGUAGGGGGCCCAAUCUUUCUUUUCUCUCUCUUUUUUGAGUUUAAAAUUGAAUGCUAACAAUGUGAGUUGAACCCAUUCCUUGGCGGGGCAACUGUAGUUGUAGCCGUUGUAGGUAAAUCCUAUCUCUUUGUUUUUUAUUUUGACAUCUCGAAUCUGGGAAUUGGAUUGUCUAGUUUCUAGAUGUUACAAUAUUUCUUGGAUGAGUUCACAUGAAAAGUUGAGAAUGUGAUUAACCCAUUCCUUGGCGGGGGUAACUGUAGUUGCAAUCGUAGCGGGCCAAUCCUUUCUCUCUCUUUUGAGUUUAAAAUUGGAAUGCUAAGAGUGUGAUUGACCAAUUCCUUGGCGAGGUAACUAUAGUUGCAGUCUUGGUGGGUACAUCAUUUCUCUUUGUUUUUAAAUAUCGAAUGCGGAUUAUUUGAGAAUGUGAUUGAUAUGUUUCUUGGUGGGGUAACUAUAGUUGCAGCCAUAAUGGGGUAGCUCUUUCUUUCUCUCUCUUUUGAGUUUAAAAUUGGAAUGCUAAGAAUGUGAUUGGCCCAUUCCUUGGUUAGGCAAAUGUAGUUGCAGUCGUGGUGGGUAAAUCCUUUCUCUUUGUUUUUUAUGUUUAAAUCUCGAAUGCUGAGAAUUGGAUUGUCAAAUUUCUAGAUGUUACUAUAUUUCUUAUUUGUGUUAACAUGACAUGUUGAGAAUGUGAUUGAUAUAUUUAUUGGCCGGGUAACUAUAGUUGCAGCUGUAUUGGGCCAAUCCUUUCUUUCUCUCUCUUUUUUGGGCUUAAAAUUGGAAUGCUAAGAUUGUGAUUGACCAUUCCUUGGCGAGGCAACUGUAGUUGCAGCCGUGGUAGGUAAAUCCUCUCUCUUUGUUUUUUUAAUUUUAAAUCUCGAAUGCUGAGACUUUGAUUGGCUAGUUUCUAGAUGUUAUAAUAUUUCAUAUUCGAGUUCACAUACAAGUUGAAGAAUGUAUCGACAUAAUUUCUUGGCGGGGAUAACUAUAGUUGCCAACCAUAGUAGGCCAACCUUUCUCUCUCUCUUUUGGGUUUAAAAUUGGAAUGCUA